UUGACCUCAAAUCAGGUAGGACUACCCGCUGAACUUAAGCAUAUCAAUAAGCGGAGGAAAAGAAACUAACAAGGAUUCCCCUAGUAACUGCGAGUGAAGCGGGAAGAGCUCAAAUUUGAAAUCUGGCGGUUCUUGACCGUCCGAGUUGUAAUCUAGAGAAGUGCUACCUGUGCUGGACCGUGUACAAGUCUCCUGGAAUGGAAGCAUCACAGAGGGUGAGAAUCCCGUCUUUGACACGGACUGCCUGCACRUUGCGGUGUGCUCUCGAAGAGUCGAGUUGUUUGGGAAUGCAGCUCAAAAUGGGUGGUAAAUGCCAUCUAAAGCUAAAUAUUGGCGAGAGACCGAUAGCGAACAAGUACCGUGAGGGAAAGAUGAAAAGAACUUUGGAAAGAGAGUUAAACAGUACGUGAAAUUGCUGAAAGGGA
rnacentral:rRNA from 1 species